rnacentral:lncRNA from 1 species
AUGGCAUUACUCAGGCUGCCUCUGGUUCGCUUCUGUUCUUAUAACAUAGCUCUUCAGAGUUUUCUCAUGCUUUCUUUUUAAACUUUUAUUAAAAAAUAUUUAAGCCUGCAGGAAAAUUGCAAGAAUACUACAAUGAGCUCCCAUGUAGCCUCACCUAGAGGGUAAUAUUAUUUUUGUUAACAUUAUUUUGCCACAUCUUUUUCUCUCCACACACACAUGCACACACACACACACACACACACACACUAUACAUCAGCUGAAAUAUUUGAGAGUGCCAGACGUCAUGACCUUUCACUCCAAAAUAAUUCAGUGUACAUUUCCUCAGAAAAAGAACAUUUUCUUACAUGAAACAUGACACAACUAUUAAGUUCAGAAAAUUAAACGUUAGCAUGAAACUAUUUCACCUAUUGUCUCAAUAUUGUCCUUUAUAGCCUAUUUUUUUCUGAUCAAGUAUCCGAUGCAGAAUCAUGCUUGCAUUUAUUUGUCAUAUAUCUUUAAUCUCUUUUAAUCUGGAAUGUUCUCAUUCCUUCUUUGUAUAACAUAAGUGCCUGACAUUAAGCUUUUUGACUUUAGUGUAAGUGUCUGACAGUAAGCUUUUCGUUGCCAAGGCAUCCACUUCAAGCAGUAUGACACAGCUACUAGCAAAAUAACCAGAUAAAGAACCAGACUGCCUCCACCCAUGAAGUUCCCUUUUAAGGAAGCCCUAGGUAACCCGAUGACUGACAGGUUGAGUGACCCCACUUUUCCCUUCCCAUACCCUAAUUCCUGCUCUUAUGCUUUAAAUUCACUGAUAGAGAGUGAACCUGCCAAACUCUAGGCAUGCUACCCUCAGACCCAAAUAAAGGCAGAGCCUCAGGUCCAUGCUCCCUCCCUCUCUCUCUACCUGCUACCUUAUUUUGUGGCUCUCAGGCUUGCGGCGUCCCCUCCAGGACCUGUGAGUAAUAAAUCUUAUUCUUCUAAAAAUUCCCUGAUGGUUUUGGUGAGGUACAUAAGAAGCACAAGAGCCAGUC